rnacentral:rRNA from 1 species
UACGUAGGGUGCGAGCGUUAAUCGGAAUUACUGGGCGUAAAGCGUGCGCAGGCGGUGAGUUAAGUCUGAUGUGAAAGCCCCGGGCUCAACCUGGGAACGGCAUUGGAAACUGGCUUGCUAGAGUGUGGCAGAGGGGGGUGGAAUUCCGCGUGUAGCAGUGAAAUGCGUAGAGAUGCGGAGGAACACCGAUGGCGAAGGCAGCCCCCUGGGCCAACACUGACGCUCAGGCACGAAAGCGUGGGGAG